rnacentral:rRNA from 1 species
GCAAGUCGAGGGGCAGCAUAGGACUUCGGUUCUGAUGUCGACCGGCGCACGGGUGAGUAACGCGUACACUACCUACCCUUAACAGUGGGAUAGCCCUGGGAAACUGGGAUUAAUACCACAUAUUAUUUCGUAUUUUAUUUUUAUGCAAUUAAAGCUCCGUCGGUUAAAGAUGGGUGUGCGUUAGAUUAGCUAGUUGGUAAGGUAAUGGCUUACCAAGGCUACGAUCUAUAGGGGGCGUGAGAGCGUGAAC